GUGGUGUAAUAUUACACCAUCAAUUAAGAAAGAUACUGAGGUCCUUAAAGUGUUGGAACUGUGUGUGAUGAGUCAUGGGCCAUGUAGUCCCGUUCCUGGCACUGUUGUGUUAGAUGAAGAGGAAAACUUGGGUUUUUCACCGUUUCAGUCAGAAUUGGAACUUUCCCAGCCAGAUUUGGAAACCUUGCACCUGCAAGAGAUUUGUCUUCCAGAAGUCUGUCAAACAAGCCCUGAACCUAAAUCUCCUACGUUUUCUCGCCAUGAGUUUUGUAAACAACAGAGGGGAGUUCAAGCGGCCUCUCGCAGGAGUGCGAGGAUAGCUGCUAAUCUCUUGGUAUAGGGACAUCGCAUAUCUAUUCUUUAUAAAAUUGUAUAAGAUUGCAAACAUAGUUCUGAAAAAUGGAAUGUAGAGCCUGCAUUUGACUGGGUGAGAAAAGCUUGUUUCUGCUGCUCUUCAACCUUUGCACAAUGAAAAAUGGGGACUUAAAAUAGUAUAAUUAACUCAUAAAUCAGGAUUUCACAUUAAUGAUCUCCUUAUGGUAAGAUGUAAAGAAACAUUCUACUACAGACACAAGGAGAAAAGCAUGAUUUAGCCUGAUCAACUGCAAUUGGAUCCCUUUAGCACCCUGAAGCUGAAUUGGGGGUGGGGGGAAUAUUCCCACCCAUUCUUGUUUGGAGCACAUACCAAUGUACUGUUGCACUGAACCCUAACACAACAGGGAAAGGGGCUCACUGGAUAGAGAGGUCUUCCAACACAGUGGUGCAAAUGACAGGGCAAAUCCAUAUAUUGUAGAGAGGUGUGGUUGCCAGAUGCCAUUUUGAUGCCCUAUUCAGGCUGGAUCUUGUUAACAUCUGUAGAAUUUGAUGCAAAAUCUUUUGGGAUUUCUGUCUUGAGAAAGGAUUGUUCCUAGGUAGCUAGGCAGGCAGGUAGAUACAGAAAUCUAAGAUAUGCUUAAACCAACAAGCAUAAAAACACAAACUAUAAUCAAUAUUUUAAGUCUUAAACACAUUGAUCAGUUCUGUAAUGGGAUUCCAAGGCAACUGAAAUGGCGGUGUCAAGCUUUAGGACUCAAGUCUGUGAAAAUGGGUUCCUCGGGAGAAUUUUGUUCUAUUAAAUGAAUCCAAGGAUUACAAGGUGUCUGGUAAGCAAAACUUUCCAUUAUCGAGGAUGAACAGCUUAAAGGCAUACUACUUAUUUCAAAGUUUUCCAAUGAAAAUAACAUAGGCUAUGUAAAAUACAUUUUAUUUUUAUUUUUAUAGUACAUAGAAUUGGUUAUCACUGAGGAACAUGAAACGCAAGAGAACAAGAUGACAGGCAGAAACAUCCGUCUGCUUGAGAUACAGUAUUCAAGACAUUCCAGCUCCCAUAGAGAAUAACUCACGGUUCCAGCAUAAUCAAAAACUCAGAAUGCACUACGCCAGAAUCUGAGCAUGUUUAAUGCAGAGGCAAGUCCCACUGGUUUCAAUAUAACAUUUCAGGAGUUCAAAUAAAGGGAUUAAUGAGUGUGUGUGAUUCACACUUUCUCCCCAUACUUGCAGUUUUGAUUCCAGUGGGCAAGGAUGCAUACUAGAUGCAUACUAGAUGUGAACAUAAUGAUUACAAUGAGUAUCUAACAAGGCUAAAGUGCAGGGAGAAGUAGUGUAAUACUGUAGUGCUUUCUCUUUUGUUUCUUCUUACGUGUAUCCUUUUCUAGGCGCAUAUUUAAUCUGACCUUUAAGAUAAAUGUGGUGAUUGUAUGAAUCAUUUGUUUUUGUAGGUGUUUUUGUCCAAAAAAAUGGGGGAUAGGAUUAUGCUGCAUAUCCUAAAGUAGAAGGCCUCCUUUGGUGUAGCUGAAACAGCUAUUUUAAAAGAAGCAAUCUGUAGUCCUGUAUAAAGGGUAAGCCUCUGCCAAAGGAUCGAGAAGAGUCACAGUUUGCAGGAAAAGACUGAGAUGUCAGACUUUUUUUACUCAUCUGAAAUUAGGCACAUCCCUAAGAAUAGCUUUCAGUGGCAGUGAGAUCAGGUUUUAAUGGACAUGUCUUCUGAGGAUGUGGUGUGACAAUUUUCAACUUCUGACAUUAUUUCAUUCAAGUCAAGCUGAAAUAUCUUCUGGUGUAAGCCAAUAUCAGAAUUCCCAGACAGAAGAGAAAUGAAGGAAUUCAAGCCACCAAAGAUGAAGGGCCGGUUCAGUGGUUUUGCCCCUUUCUGUACAAAAAAAAUCCUCUUAAGUGUGUGUUAUGCCUGAAUGCUCAUCGAGUCUUUCAGUUACUUCAUUUGCAAUCUCCUACACAAGUGUAAGUGACCUUAGUAGUGGCUCAAGAGUUUGAGAGAGAGAGAGAGAGAGAGAGAGAGAGAGAGAGAGAGAGAGAGAGAGAGAGAGAGAUGCUUCCAAAGAAUUGCCCUCUUUCUUAAGUGUCUCCCUGUACUCAAGUGUAUGAACACCUGUAAGAACUGAAGAGAUUUGAACAGAUGUUGUCUGCCGUGGUAUUUCCAUUAUAGUAUAGCUCAGGCAUGGGCAAACUGGCCCUCCAGGUAUUUUGGACUUUAACUCUCAGAAAUCCCAGCUAGCUUACCGGCUGUUGGGAAUUGUGGGAGUUGAAGACCAAAACAUCUGGAGGGCUGAAGUUUGCCCAUGCCUGGUAUGGAUCCAGUCAGGUGAAAUUCUCCUUGAUCCGCCUUCCAUUCCAUCUCAUUAUACUCUAUGCCUUCCUUUGAGAUUGCCUUUAUAAGAAAUAGUUUAAAAAAAUUAAAUCCUGCUGCCGUAUUAUUGAUACUUGUAGCUGUGAGGGAAAUGGGAAGGCUUCUGACAGUUUGCCAUUCAACGAAAAUGCACUAGCCAAGGGAUGGCAACCAGAAGCCUAAGUAUACAGGCUCCUCACCAUAGAGGAAAGGUCUAUACACAAGGAUGUUCUGAGAAGGAAAAAUGCCUUGUGGCUCAAAGGAGCUUGAGUAUGAUUGCCACUGCUGAUUGUAGCUUUGUAUCUCUAUAAGAGCUUCCCCAGCUCUUCUAUCAGGGACCACUGAUAUACAUUCUCCCACCCUAAAAGGGUUUCUUUUCUACUAGGACCAAGGUCAAAUUUCCCUGAGUUUAAGAUCAGUGCUUUUUCUAUGGCUUAAGGCAAGGGCCUCUGAGCCACCGAUAUCCUGACCAGAUAAUUCAUUGGCCACACGUAAUCUAUCUGCAAGGGACUCAGAGACAAUCUAGCCAUCUAGCCACCACUCAGUUUGCUUUAACAAGCAACCAACAGCAGGCAGUUUAUUCAAAGAAGCCGAAUGAACAAUGAGUGAGAUAGAAGACUCUUUUCCACCCAACCCCCUCAAAGGCAGAGAUGGGCUCACAAUGGUUUGGCAAACAGAUCAAACCUAGUGCACGAAGAAAUAAAAACAAAUAACAUGAUUAACAUUCUCUUUAGAGAUACAUGUCAACAGCAUUAGAGAAGACAUUCAACAUGGGCAGAGGUGCUUGGUCCAUUCUUUUUUAAAAAUUCAGAUAAUUACAGCAGCAUGGAACCUGGAAUAAGGACCAGCUAAAAUGACACAAUAUUUUGAGUGAGCUUUCGAAUUCUCCAGAGCUGGUCAUUCAUGCUGGAUGCCAAUUUUUUAAAAGAAUGGGAGAACUGUUCCUAGGCAGGAUAUAAAGUAACACCACAGUCACUGACAUAAGGUUAAAAGUUUUUAAACCCAGCAAUAUCUUUACCACAAUAUGCAUGUAUAUCUCUGAACCUCUAGUUAUAUUUUCAUGCAUCCAGAUCUUUCCUCCAAAUGACAUACUUUACUCUUAUCAGCCUUGAAAAAAGUUCUAAUGAAUUCAAAUUCUUUCCCACAUUAUUGUUUGUUUUUGUCAGUCAGGUAUCAUGUUAACUUCAUUUUUAUGAAAUUAUUCCACUGUAUGUAAAUAUAUGCAAAUGUGAUAUAGGAUAUUGCACAUCUACACAUGCACAUGGUUUGGGGAAACCAGCAUACAGCAAUUGAAUCAGUCUCUGAACUAUACAGCUCAUCUUUCUGAUAUUUUUGCCUAUAGAUAUUUCAACUUUUGGCACAGUAGAUGACUCAAAGUGAUAAUGCUGUUUUCUUUUUCUCUUCCAGAUGCUGCCGAGUUCUUCGCCACAGUUCAUCUUCAGCUGGUUAUUGAAAUGGAAUUAGAC
rnacentral:lncRNA from 1 species